rnacentral:lncRNA from 1 species
UUAAAAAAGCCGGUCAACAUGAAAAUCCAAAACAAAUAAGAGUUAAUUGGGUUAACCCCACCUUCUCCACAUUGAUUUCCCUUUCCUGUUCCAGGUCUCUAUAACCCUCUUUUGAUGCAUAUCUUUCUCAAUAGCGUGGUUGAAUGUAUAAGGUUAAGCAUCUUAACAGUAUGUCUUAUCUCUUCCUUCAAUCCUUCAACAAAGAAUUUUAAGAAAAAAAUCCUCUGGUAUAGUAGGGCUACCAAUAAGAACACAUGCUUUCAAGUCUUCAAACUUUUUUAGGUAUUCAUUGAUAGUACCUUUUUGUUUUAUUUUCUGGAAUUCACCAAUAAGAUUGAACUUACUACUUUCAGCAUGUUGAAACCUUUUUUCAUAGUUCCUCAUAAAAUUAUUGCCAACUAACAUGGCCUUUGCUUAAUUUGUAGGAGAAAUAACAUGCCUCAGGUCUUCCUUGCAGGUGAAGAACAGUUUCUUCUAGCUUCUGGCCAUGAUCAACUACCUGAUUAUAGUGGAAAUACCUUUCACACCUUCUCAAAUAUGAACAAGGAUCUACUCCUCUAUUGCCUUCAAAGUAGGGAUCUGCAUUCGAGAAUUGGAGUUGCGGUGGCCUUGAACUCUCUCCCUUGCUCUAGGAGGAACAAAUUGAUCUCCUCUCGAUCUGUUGCUAGUUCCUUCCAGUUGGAUUUCCCCAAUUGGAGCACUGCCCAGAAUACCUGCUUUAUUUGGAAGCAGCUUGUCCAUCAACAUAUCCAACUUCUUAGCUAGAUCAUCAAUUUUCACAUUACUUGUUUCUGCCUUUUUCUGUGAAUUUUGGUAUGAAUUUAUAACUGAUUUUCCAGUUUACUAACAUUGUCCUCCAUGGAUUUGGACCUUGUUUCUGUUAUCGUCAUUGAUUGGCCAGAAGUUGCUCUGAUACCAAGUUGUUAUAUUCUCAAACAAUUGAAUCAAAAACACCAAAAAAUGGAAUUUUAUUGAUCACCAAAUUGGAAUUACAAUCCACAUGUUCACCAUACAGAACUGAAAUGGGAAAGGAACUACUGAAUUAAUUUUUAAUCAGCUGAAACGUCACCUAUAAUGAAGAUUAAUUGAAUUAGAUCAAGGGAUUAGAGUUAGAGAAGAAGAAGAAGAAGAAGAAGAAGAAGAAGAAGAAGAAGAAGAAGAAGAAGAAGCAACAUAGGAAGAAGAGAGAGAAUGAAAGGAGUUAGAAAAAGA